CACAGGAAACAGGAAAUCGCGCGAGAGACAAAUGGAGGAAGCCACCGGGGCGAGAGGCGGCAGCGGCAGCGGCUGUGACGCGUCACAGCUGCCGCGGUCGCUCUGAGAGAAUGACAGAGGGAGCGCGGGGCGCUUUGCGUGGCUUCGCCUGGCAGGCUCAGCGUCCCAAUUAGCUCCCCGUAAACAAAGGAGGAAGUUUUGCCGCGGCGCUCGCGCUCUCCUUCCUCACCUCCCCGCCACCCUCACAUCUUCACCGCCACCUCCACCAGCGCAGCCCAGCGAGAGCUUCCUCUCCCCCCUUUUUUCUGCUAGCAGAUAAGAGGCGUUCAGAAGUGGCGCAGCCCCCGCUCUGAUAGCGCGAGGUGUCACCAAUGAAAGGCAGCGUCCCCGCUGAAUACGCUCGCGUGGAUGAAAGUGACAGGCAGCUGCUAAGAGGCCUUUCUGACCCACCGCUGAACACGGCCGGAUCUUCAGCAGCGAAGGUUCCAGUUAACCACGGACUCCUCUCUCCAUGUCGACUGAUUGCAUCAUCGGCUCGCCGCUGGCGUGAAAGUGGCUGAGUGAGAAAGUACAGGAUGUCUUUAUUGCUGUGGAGAGGGAAACCUUCUCCAACCGUCUCCACCUGCACUUAUCACUCGCUGAGCAGAAAAUUCACUGAAAGUUCCCUGUCUAACUGGCGUGCAUUCCUGUUGGAGAAAUCAUAAACUAAGUAAAUACAUCCAUUUGAUUUUUUUAAAGGGAAUAAUUAAAUUACAUUGGUACCAAUAAUUUAACACCCAGCAAAAUGCAUGCAUUCCUUUGUGGUUGAAUUUUCGCGGUUUCUUUCAUAGGCCUUCUAAACCUGCCUUCCACUGACCUAAAGAAGGAGGAAUGUCUCGGAACCAUCAGCAGAUCAUUUUCCUCACCGGCCAACCUCACGCGCCUUUCUUAAUUUGAUUGGCAUGUUCUAUUUAUUACCAUGCAACUGGGAUUUUAUCCGCUAUUUGCUUCCAGAUCAGCCUAUACGGAGAGGGAAGAGAGGCUCCCCUGUGGUAGUGGUGAUGUCACCAGUGCAGAGUAAAUACCCAAAGUGCAUCAUGUUAAAGUGGAAGAAAUGGAAAGGAUGUUUGUUUGGUGUGAAGAGGCGCGACGCUCAAACCGGCCACUCAUCAGGAGAAACUAGACUUACAAAUCUGCUCACAAAAAAACACUAAAAGCCAACUUUGGUUUUGAAGGCCAGUUAGGUGUACUUUUUUAGAGUGCUGAUUAUUUUUAAUGACACAAAUCACGGGGUGACAUUUUCAGAUAUGUCAUUUUUUUAAAUUUCAAUCACAACCUCUCUUUGGGGUUGACUGAUGAAUCACAGCAACCUUUUCUCCCUCCGAAUUCAUUUGUAUCUCUUUGGAGUAAGAGCCUUGCUGCAGCUGUCUGUGCCGUGUGAGGGUGGGGGGGGGGCAGAAGCUGGGGGAGAACAGCUCGAAAAUGGCUUCUCUCGGUGGCAGCGUAUCACCAUCUAAAUCUCUCCCCCCACAUCGGGGGAGCAGAGCUGUGACUACUGGGAUUAGGCUAAUCACACAUUCACCCAGGAGGCUGCACACACAGGAGAUCCUGCGUAAGGCAUGACCUUAUUUCAGACGGGUUUCUAUAGACGCUCUUUUGCUGGCAUCUCGAAGCCAAUGCUUAUGCUGAGAUUUACUUAUUGGGGCUGCGCUUUAUUCCAGUUUGUCCCUUUACGCUGCAUUUUACACUUCAUUGACACGCAAACAUCCUUUUAUGAGCCG
ensembl:lncRNA